rnacentral:rRNA from 1 species
GGGUUGUGAGGUUAAGCGACUAAGCGUACACGGUGGAUGCCCUGGCAGUCAGAGGCGAUGAAGGACGUGCUAAUCUGCGAUAAGCGUCGGUAAGGUGAUAUGAACCGUUAUAACCGGCGAUUUCCGAAUGGGGAAACCCAGUGUGUUUCGACACACUAUCAUUAACUGAAUCCAUAGGUUAAUGAGGCGAACCGGGGGAACUGAAACAUCUAAGUACCCCGAGGAAAAGAAAUCAACCGAGAUUUCCCCAGUAGCGGCGAGCGAACGGGGAGCAGCCCAGAGCCUGAAUCAGUGUGUGUGUUAGUGGAAGCGUC